rnacentral:rRNA from 1 species
AACCUCCGCAAUGUGAGAAAUCGCGACGGGGGGAUCCCAAGUGCCAUUCUUAACGGGAUGGCUUUUCAUUAGUGUAAAGAGCUUUUGGAAUAAGGGCUGGGCAAGACCGGUGCCAGCCGCCGCGGUAACACCGGCGGCUCUAGUGGUAGCAGUUUUUAUUGGGCCUAAAGCGUCCGUAGCCGGUUUAAUAAGUCUCUGGUGAAAUCCUGUAGCUUAACUGUGGGAAUAGCUGGAGAUACUAUUAGACUUGAGACCGGGAGAGGUUAGAGGUACUCCCAGGGUAGAGGUGAAAUUCUGUAAUCCUGGGAGGACCGCCUGUUGCGAAGGCGUCUAACUGGAACGGUUCUGACGGUGAGGGACGAAAGUUAGGGGCGCGAACCGGAUUAGAUACCCGGGUAGUCCUAACUGUAAACGAUGCGGACUUGGUGUUGGGUGGCUUUGAGCUGCUCCAGUGCCGAAGGGAAGCUGUUAAGUCCGCCGCCUGGGAAGUACGGUCGCAAGACUGAAACUUAAAGGAAUU